GUCCAAAGAAAAUCUUCGAAACUCGGCCCCAAACUACAAUAAGAAAGAGAAGACGAUGAAGAAAACUUCCAGUUGUGACUUUCAACAUGUCCAUUUCUGUGAAAAUGGAGGUGAGUCUAACCAUGUUGGGACAGCUCUGAACCAGCCCUUGAUGACGCAAGGAAAGCCACUACCUGAUGGAGAAGAGCUGUUUUACUCAACCACCAUUUCAAGAGAAGCUGUGAAACAUAGUGUGGAAGGGAUGUGUGACUGACUGUGUGGAGAGCUGGAGCAUAUGGGGCCACUACUGCCAAAAACCAAAGCCAGAAAGAUAAAGAAAUCUUGAGUACCAGGAUAAAACACUUCGAUGAAAUUCUUAACAUCCUACUGUCCCUUAGAGCCUGCCAAGUGGCCUGCUUAGUCCCAGUCCUGAAGCAUGAUAUACUAGUGUACCCACUGACCCAUUUUCAGAGAAUACAUGCCAAAUACUUCAAGAUGAAUAUUCCUAGGAAAAAAAGGUCAUUGUUCAUUCAAAACAUUUGGAAAUAAGAACAGCACCAUAGCCUGGAGUGGCUUAAAAAUCUAUGCUCUGACCCACAAAUACUAUCAGAUAUUAUUUAUGCAGACUUUCUUUGGAUCUAGCAAGGCAGAGCCCCAAAUAAGUAGAUUUAUUAGGAAAGAAGUGACAAGAGCAGAAUUGGUCCCCAAGUGUGGGAUAUAAGAGGUUUGUUUCUUUCAAGAUAGGAGAAAAUUGGCAAUACUUGAGCCUGGUAACAUACAACAAGAGUGGUCUGAUUAUUUUAACACCUGGUACUAGAAGUACGACCCACUGUUAGUGAACAGUCAGUGGUGGGCAUUCUGGAAUGAUGUAGAGCAGCUAUCAGACUUUCCAUUCACUGUUUAUAGGAACAAAAUAAAAAGAAAUCCACAAAAAGCCAUGAACUCCUUAAAUGCAGCUCUAGACAGGACACCAAAGGCAACAGCAUCCAAAAGGACCUGGGUUCAAAUUCUGGUUAUGACACUGCUGUGUAAAUAUGAGGCAAAUCAGUUAACUACCUAGGAAGUGGGAGGGUGAGGAGAUCCAUUGAAAAUGGAAAAAAUACUGCUUGAACAACCUAUUGCACAGAGCCAAGUUUUAUAUACUGUGAAGUAUUAUAUAAAUGUGUAUUAUUGUUGUCAUGACUGUAUUUGGGUUUUCAGAUAACAAAAAACACAACUGAAAUUAACUAACAGGCCAAGCAAGUACAACCAAUGGGCAUUAGGAGUCUACUAUGUGCAAGUGACUGUGAAAUGCCAUAAACAAGCAACAACAAGUAUAGAAAAAUCAGAGUUAAAAUUAGUUUUUUCAGUGAUUAUACUCAUACAUGUACAUGUUCUUCCCCCAUUAGAAUGCAAACUACUUGUGAGCUGGGAUUGUUUCAUUCAUUGUAUUUAUAUCUCUAGCACGCAGCACAGGCUCUGGCAUGUAAUAAUUAAUAAUUGCUAAUAAGAACUAAUAAAGAUUAAAAGGCA